CGUGUAGACGGCUUGGUAAGUCAGAUGUGAAAGCCCUGGGCUCAACCCGGGAAGUGCAUUUGAAACUGUCAGGCUCGAGUAGGGGAGAGGGAAGUGGAAUUCCUGGUGUAGAGGUGAAAUUCGUAGAUAUCAGGAGGAACACCGGUGGCGAAGGCGACUUCCUGGCCCUAUACUGACGCUGAGACGCGAGAGCGUGGGUAGCAAACA
rnacentral:rRNA from 1 species